ACCCCUGGACCAACUCCUACCUGAAAAGGCAGGUUUCCACUGCAAGGAUCUGUGGCAUCAACAGCCCCAAAGCCUCAGUAUCUGCAGCCUCACUGCUGCACUGGUGAUUGCCUUCAAUUAGGCACAGCUGGGUUGGCAGGGGCUUACCUGCCUUCAGUUCUCAGCACCUUGCUGCAGAGAGCACCUGUGCUCUCUCACAGAGCUUAGUAGGGAGAAGCAGAAAGUCUGUUUUCUUCCUGUACAAGCUCUUUCUGUUGAGGAAAUCUUUACCACGCGAGGCAAAGGAAGGAGGACCUCUUCAGAAAGGCCAAAGCAGUGUAAGUGAGGACAUCAGUCUUUGGAACUGGUCAGAAGACAUGGACUCAAGUGCCACUACUUAUCACAGAGAUAUGCAGUACCUACCAAGAUCAUGGCCCAAUACUUGGAUUAGCACCAUGAGAUCUGGUUAUGUCUGAAGAACAGCUAGCUGGAGCAGAACAGGAGCAAAACUGAUGGGACAGUAGAGGACAGAGGAAAGCACACUGAAGAGCAAUUUCUCGACUAAAGGUGUGCAUCCACAGGUGCCUCCUGUGUUCAGCCCUGUGUCAUGUGCCAAACCAUGGGCCUCAACUCAGAGCAACAUAAGCAGUUAGUCCCAGGCUGAGUUCACCUGCAUGCCAUUUAGCACAUCUGACAUAUGUGACACAGGGAGAUGGAGAAAGGAAAGUGGCACAGGAAACAUGAAAGCAAUGAAAAAGAUUGGCAGCAAUGGGAGGAAAAAUUUCAAAGCGAGGUCUGCACACAGCGCUACAUGUCAGGAUCAUUUGAGUUCUAAUGAGUCUUUUCUGUGGCUUUGGAUUUAUCACUUAACUUCUGCUGCAGUUUCCCCAUCUACAAAUGGGAUGGUACAUGGUCUGAAUAACAUUUGGAAGACAGAAAUUGUUACAUCGCUGCCAAGCAUUCUUAUUUAUUAUUGAAGUCCAGGAGCAUUGAAAAUCCAGGUCUCGGAGAAUAAGGCAUUUUGUGAAAAAGCAUCUUUCACAUGGCAUUUGGUGGAAGAUAACACUAGUCUUGUAGGGCUAAGGCUGUGCAAAGCGUCAGUCCCUGAUUUGAUUCAAUGGCCGAAUCUCCAAAUCUGAAUCGAAUCAAAGGACCCUUUAAUCUCUCCGAAUCGAAUCGGAACCCUUCAAACUGAUUCAGAGAGAUUCGGAAAGAUUUGGACAUAGACACAGCUUUAAAUGUCUUUAUUCUACAUACUUCUAGGUAACAGGUGGCUCGUGAGCGUUGUGAUG